UCCACUCUCAAACCGGAAAUACGUCACCUCCACUUGAAAACAUCAAGAUGGCGUCGCCGUGAGUACUUCAAACUUAUACUCAGGUAGUUUUAUCUCUGCAUCGCUAAAAUGGUGAACUGACGCUGUUGUAACGUGCAGUGUAAGAAAACCACACAGGGCUUACGUGAAAUUAUUCACAAAAGGAUUAAUAAACACUGUGGAUUUAUAGAUUUAUAUCGCGAGCAAUGUUGAUGUCUGGCCACUGAUCUAUAAAUCAUAUAUACACCACAUAUAGUCAUGUAUAGAUCAAUGUGUCUGCCCAAUGUUUUUUUUUUUUUAAGUUAUCAAGUUCAAUUACAAACCUUUACGCCACAUUUCAACAACUGAACACACAAUAUUAGUGUUGAUACAGCCAAAUAGAAAGAAAAAAGAUGAAAAAAAAAACAAAUAACAAUAAUCACAUCAUAAGAUAAAACGGAAUAAAUAAGGGAAAGAAAAAGAAAGACGAGGGUCUUAUUCUAACAAUAAAAACAAGUUCAAAGCAUACAAGAGUUUCUGGGCAUUCCUGUCCCAUCAUGUAAUGAAGAGACUUUGCAAAUAUCUUUAGUUCAUUCUUCCAUCCGCUGAAGUGAGGUUUAACCUUUAAAAACAUACAUCUAUGAAUAUAGUAUUUGCACAAAGUAAUUAUCAAAAAGUCUAGGAUCUUAUCCUUCAACAAUACUCCAACCUUAAUUGAGACCAGAGUCAAAGGGUGUAUUGAUAUAUGUUUGGAAUGAAGCCAGUUUUGAAAUUCCAGCCAAAAAGUCAGUACAGAUUCACAUUGUAAAAACAUAUGAUCUACAGUUUCAAUAUCUUUCUUACAGAACCUGCAUGAAUUGUUCUCCCAAUUAAAUCUUUCUUGUAGAAAGUUAUUGGAUGGAUAAAUGUCAUUUAGAAUUUUAAAUGUUACUCCUUUGGCUUUAGGAAGAACUGGAUAAGUAAAAUAACGCUUCCUUAUUUUCUUUGCCUCUUCUUCACAAAAUUUUUGAAGAACACACUUUCUUUUUUAGUUGACUGGGGAAGUACAGUUUGGAUAAUACAUUUCUGAUAAACUUAUUUUUUAAUUGUUUGCUCUUUAAAUUUUUACCUUCAGUACAUGACGGAUAGCAUAGGUGUAAACUUAGUUUUUGAUGGCUUGUGUUAAAAUAACAUAGUGAAUAUGAAAGGACAUUAUCGUUUUGUAUGUGUAUGCCUUUAGCAUUUGUUGUAUUAUUUUAAAAAUGUCAUAUGAGGUGGUUGUUUUCAUAUUUAAUUUUUCAUUCACUUCCAGGGAUAGGAUUGGCAUGGAAGAUGCAUCACUUUACGAAGUCAAAGUCUUUUUACAUGUGACAUUAACAUGUACAUAUUUAUUUUUUCUAUUUUGUUGUUCUAUUAUUCUAUUGUUUGACUUUUUUGUUUCAGAUCAAAUGUAUAUCAAGUGUUAUCCAUCCUCAUAACACCUCCACAAAUAGAGACAGGAACUUCUGAGCACCAUCGCCAUGUCUGAUUUGGGACUGUCAUAGGUGAAUGAUGCAGUACUUUUCUGUGUUGAAUUUACAUAACGUCAGUACACAGACAUAGUUUUGCUCCAGUUUUGCUAUGCUCAUGUCUUUGUGUCCCCAGCCCAGCAAUCAGAUCAGAACAACAAAGCACAACUGUGGUGGCCCAGGCACCUUCAGCAACAAAGAUUUAACAACACUAUCAGCCAGGAGCAUAUUUAACAGGAGGCACACUUCAGCUGGCUUGAUGGUGACUUCAGUAAGUGUGGUUGACCCUCUUGUUUUUUGUGGCUAUAACAAUUAGGCUAAGUAAUCUCACUCUCUUCCAUUUCCCUAACAUGAAACUUUUGACUGAAACAUGAAAAUUAUUAUUAUUUUGGUUGCAUUUUAUUUUACAGUAUGUGUACUAACAUGUACUUACAGUGUAUUUAUCUAAGAAAGUUCUGGUAACACAAGGGAACUACAUGGGGUAGGGUUAGGUUUAGGGGUAGGUUUAGGGUUAGUACCUAGUUAUUACAUAGUUAUUGUAAUUACUAUAAUAAGUACAUAGUAUGUACAUGAUGAACAGGACUGUAAAAUAAAGUGCUACCAUUAUUUAUUUAUUUUUGAUACUGAACAGGUGCAGUGAAUAUAUUUAAAGAUACACUAUCAUUAUCUAAAGUACAGAAAGCCUUACAUCAUCUCUAGGUGGAGUCGCCUACAGUCCAACCAGCUUCACAAAGACUGUGGGGCUGGUUACCAGGAAAAUGGAUAACAGGGAGUGCUUUUGGGGUUUUACUCCACAGAUGACCACCCUGGUUACUGUAGCUGGGAUUGCUUCACAGACGAUGGAGGUCUUGAAGAGUAAAGUGUGUGUGCGUGCGCACACAUUGUGUUUUUACUGUAACAAUUAUGGUAACUUGCAGUUCAUGUAUUUUCAGUGUAGUGUAAGAUGUGUUUAUUAUUAUUACUCAAAAGCCAUUAAAACUGUUAAAUUGUGGAAAUUAUUCUUCAUUAUUUUACUGUGGUUUAUUUGUAUAUGUUGUUAUUUUGCUUAAAAUUCAACACACAAAAUUCGGGUUGAUGUAUUAUUUAGAUAAUUUAUUUAAUAUUUUUCACUGCUAAAUAUAACAAACAUAAGGUUAACGUUCUAAAAUAUAUGGAAUGUUACAUUGGCAGUUGUACAUUGGUAAAACAAACAUGAACAAAAGGCAGAAGCCCUCAAAAUAUGGAUUGUGGAUGUCUGUAGUGCAAAUUGCUGGGGG